rnacentral:rRNA from 1 species
GUGGGGAAUAUUGGACAAUGGGCGAAAGCCUGAUCCAGCCAUGCCGCGUGUGUGAAGAAGGUCUUCGGAUUGUAAAGCACUUUAAGUUGGGAGGAAGGGCAGUAAGUUAAUACCUUGCUGUUUUGACGUUACCAACAGAAUAAGCACCGGCUAACUUCGUGCCAGCAGCCGCGGUAAUACGAAGGGUGCAAGCGUUAAUCGGAAUUACUGGGCGUAAAGCGCGCGUAGGUGGAUUUGUACGUUGGAGGUGAAAUCCCCGGGCUCAACCUGGUAACUGCAUCAAAAACUGCAUGACUAGAGUACGGUAGAGGGUAGUGGAAUUUCCUGUGUAGCGGUGAAAUGCGUAGAUAUAGGAAGGAACACCAGUGGCGAAGGCGACUACCUGGACUGUUACUGACACUGAGGUGCGAAAGCGUGGGGAGCAAACAGGAUUAGAAACCCGAGUAGUCC